AGUGAACGCUGGCGGUAGGCCUAACACAUGCAAGUCGAACGGCAGCACAGUAAGAGCUUGCUCUUACGGGUGGCGAGUGGCGGACGGGUGAGGAAUACAUCGGAAUCUACUUUUUCGUGGGGGAUAACGUAGGGAAACUUGCGCUAAUACCGCAUACGACCUACGGGUGAAAGCAGUGGAUCUUCGGACCUUGCGCGAUUGAAUGAGCCGAUGUCGGAUUAGCUAGUUGGCGGGGUAAAGGCCCACCAAGGCGACGAUCCGUAGCUGGUCUGAGAGGAUGAUCAGCCACACUGGAACUGAGACACGGUCCAGACUCCUACGGGAGGCAGCAGUGGGGAAUAUUGGACAAUGGGCGCAAGCCUGAUCCAGCCAUACCGCGUGGGUGAAGAAGGCCUUCGGGUUGUAAAGCCCUUUUGUUGGGAAAGAAAAGCAGCAGGUUAAUACCCCGCUGUUCUGACGGUACCCAAAGAAUAAGCACCGGCUAACUUCGUG
rnacentral:rRNA from 1 species